UGGCGCGUCCCGUGGCUCAUCCCGCGCUGACCGCGGCGUGCGUGCGUGGGGGGCUGCGCGUCCCUCUCUUGCGCGGGUGGCCUUCACCCGCUGGCCUGGUGCCUGUAUGACGGUGGGGCUGAGUCGUCCGCUUAGGGCACGUGCCUUCGCCGCGGUGUUGGGUUUGUUCCGUGCGGCGAAUGCUACCUGGUGUGGAGAGAGGCCGCGCUCUCCAUUUUCGCUGUCCGCCGUUCGCCUCCUUCGCCCCACCACGCUUCGCAUCCUGUUCGACUCGGACUGACUGACCUUCUUCGCCGCCGGUGUGCAUAGCCGUUGUGAUGGCGUUUGUGCGUUCGAUCGGUGCUGCUGGUUAAUACCAGUUUCUUCUACCGCUGUCUCCUGCGCCCGCCGUCGCGCCGUUCUGCCUUUUGCAUUGAGGUCGAUGGUGGGGUGGAUGGGCAGGGGAGGCGGGCGACGAGGGCAGGCAACAGUCGCCCCGUCGCGAUGUGGUGAAGCUACAGGGAAGAGGGAGGAGGUCGGCGAUAGGGUGAAGGAGUAGGCCGGCCCUCGUGGAGGCUGCGCUGCCGGCCGGCCAGGGAGGCGGCCCGGCUCGCCUCUGCCUCCACCCUCACCUCCUUUUCCAUGCCUCUUCCUCUGCAUAGUAGCAUGUGCGAGGUUGCGGGCACAGGCAACCAUGGGCAAAUUUUGGGGAGACGCCAAGAUGAGCUUCCCCUCUGUUCCAUGCCCUAAUCUCUCUCUAAAGAUUUGUGUAGCCUAAAUGUCUCUGUACCGUGUAAGCAGGCCCAACCUAAUGCACACCAUCGGCCUGAUGAAUGACCAAAUGAUUUGUUUUUGUUGCCAUAUAGACUAUUGACUGGUGUGUAGGAGCCCUUCUAAUUGGUGUUCUAUGUGUGUUUUCUUUUGUUCUGUUGCAGAAUAAUAAUUCAAGUGGAUGGCCGAUGAGUCUUGUUGUUUAGCGGUAUGAUGGUCGGUGAAAGUAUGUUCUAUGUAUAUUGCAAGGUGAUGGGCUGCUGACUUUUGUUGUCCACUUCUACUGAUUUCUACCCACUUGCUUAAUUUGAUAUCUGCUGUAUAAGUAAUGGCCCUAAUAUACAGUACAUAAAAAAUGACCCGUCUUAUAUUCCAAAAGAAUGGUUUUGCUAUGCGCUGCUUGGAAUCAUCAGUGUUCGUUAUUUUUGUUCAGAUUUGUUAUGUACGCAUGGUAGAUCUUUCUAGGUUCUACUUUCUUAUUCUUCAGCCAUAAUUCAGUUCAUGUCACCAAGUUGCAGCCAUACCAAAGUGCAGACAUUUAAAUAUUUUAGAACAGAACAAUUAGAUGAUUUUAGUUCUGAGUGCAUGAAUGCUUUGGUUAAUGGUUUAGAAAUGCAUUGCGUAUGUAGUUAUGUUAACAUGUUUGCUAGAGGGAUCAGAAUGGUCUUUGAGUCGUUCAAAACUGAAGGGAGCACCGAGGUAUCACAUUUGCAAAAUCAUGCAUAUGCAGGAGCACGGCAGUCUAGCGACCUAAAUUUCUCCCCAACUUAUGCCUUUUUGUUCAGUCCAGAAUUUCAGGUUUCCCGUGGUUUCUGUUGCCAAGGUUUUAUCUUUAUUUUCGUGUUGCGCAGAUGAUUUCUGUUGAAGCCGAGCCAAUUGAGAUCCAAGAGCCUCCUCCAUCUUACCCUCCUCACCAAGGAGGUCGGAUUGAUCUAGGAUCUUUUUCCUUAAUUUUGAGGUCCUCCCUUGGCCCCUCUACUUGGCUCUCCUCUGUCUUGUUUCUCCUCUAUAAAAAAAAUAUGGAAACUACCACGAGAGAUAAUUGCGGCUUGCUGCUCUUCGCUGCAGAAUAUCACAAAGAAGUAUAUCAGUUGGCAUCCUCCCAGAAGAAGAGAAGUCAAUAUACAAAGAAAAAAUCAUGGCCAAACUUUUUUAAACCAUAAGCAACUUGUUAUGAUGUGAUGAUACCUGGUCAAGCUUUUCUCAUUUUUCUGAAAACUCAUUUAUCAAGUGAAUCUACUAUGCCAAGGAAGUACGGAGCGACCAAUGGUUUCACUUAUUGGAGGGGAGACGCGGAAUCAGCGCACUGCCUGACCCCAAAGGCUUGAGGGAGCGGGUCUCCUGUAGGGAAAUAGCAAGCAUUGCAUAAUUUCCUUUAAAUAAUCAAAUCUCAAUUAAAUCAAGUAUAUGACCAUGUAUUUUUAUCAAAUAAGCCAGAAAAAAAGAAAUACAACACCACAAAACCCCUAGAAGUGUCAUAGAAAUUGUGCUUCAGAAUUAUUUGUCAAUCCCAUGCAGCUAUCUUGCCAUGGAAAUAAUCUCAUAUCAAAAUACGUUCAGAACUAUAUCCAUCAUAGCGUCCUUCCAGCUUCACUUACAGGCACCUGCUUGUUAUUUACCCAACUAAUAGUUGUUGCUUGGUAAUAAAGAAAAGAUAGCUAGAUAAACAAUUAGUCCAGUAGACCAUUUGCUUAUUGUUUUAUACACACUCACUUCAUUUCCAAAUAAUCUUUUAUGCA